GUGUCAGCAGCCGCGGUAAUACGUAGGGGGCGAGCGUUGUCCGGAAUCAUUGGGCGUAAAGCGCGUGUAGGCGGCUCGUUAAGUCCGGUGUGAAACCUUGGGGCUCAACCCCAAGCCUGCACUGGAUACUGACGAGCUCGAGUCCGGGAGGGGAGAGCGGAAUUCCUAGUGUAGCGGUGAAAUGCGCAGAUAUUAGGAAGAACACCGGUGGCGAAGGCGGCUCUCUGGAACGGUACUGACGCUGAGACGCGAAAGCGUGGGGAGCGAACAGGAUUAGAAACCCUAGUAGUCC
rnacentral:rRNA from 1 species